CCAACCUUAGCUCAGUUGGUAGAGCGGAGGACUGUAGAUCCUUAGGUCACUGAUUCGAAUCCGGUAGGUUGGA
rnacentral:tRNA from 1 species